UUAAACUUGUGUUUUGAACUUGAACAGAUUUUACAAUACGGUAUUUAGGCUUUAUGGUCCCUUCAUGGUUCAUUAGACAAAAUACCUCGCGGCUAUUUAUUGGGCACUAUGAUUCGGUGGAAUAGUUCUAUUGUUCUAAUUUGUGAACACUUUUAUCACGAGGGAAUUCAUUUUGAAUUACUAGUUUCACUGAAGUGGCUGUCGGAAAGUCUCUUGCUUAAGACGGAUGGAGCCAAGAUGAACAUGCAUACAGUCCUAGGCCCGAAGGAAGACAAUUUCAUUCUAGUUGCCAGAUAAGAUGAUGUGGCGUCCAAGGAUCCGACAGGCAGAUGGAGGAGCCCAUAUGAAAGUUCAGUACAAGACCUGAAGGAAUAAUG